AACAUGAAGAUUAGACUUAGUAUUUAUAAUUUUUGUUGUAAAAGCAUUAUGCUUGUUAAUUCUAUGUUAUAAAUAUGGACAUAAAUUUUUAAUUUAAUACGUUUUGAAAUAUCUUUGACUCAUAAAUAUUACUUUUACUAGAUUUAUAAUAAAAAACAUAAGACCAUUUAUUGCUAUGUUUUUGUUUGAGUUCUAUGUUUGACAGAUUAUUUCAAAAGUAAAGAGUACAUUGUACAUAUUGAUUACAAUCUAUUGGUUUGUAAAGAAAAUGGUUAAACUUAUGAUAACUAACACCAACCCAUGCAACAAAUAAAAAAUUUAUUUUGAAAUUAAAUACAAAGUACAUUUUUAUGUGUGUGUUGAAAUUCUGAAAUUUUAAGAUAACUAGAGUUAAAGCUUUCUUGUCUAUCAAUUUUCUGCACACACACACACACACACACACAAACACA
rnacentral:lncRNA from 1 species